rnacentral:rRNA from 1 species
GACGAACGCUGGCGGCGUGCUUAACACAUGCAAGUCGAGCGGAAAGGCCACUUCGGUGGUACUCGAGCGGCGAACGGGUGAGUAACACGUGAGUAAUCUGCCCCUGGCUUUGGGAUAGCCACCGGAAACGGUGAUUAAUACCGGAUACGACCACUUCUCGCAUGGGAUGGUGGUGGAAAGUUUUUUCGGCCAGGGAUGUGCUCGCGGCCUAUCAGAUGGAUGGUGAGGUAAUGGCUCACCAUGGCUUCGACGGGUAGCCGGCCUGAGAGGGUGGCCGGUCACACUGGGACUGGGCCGCGGCCCAGACGCCUACGGGAGGCAGCAGUGGGGAAUAUUUGACAAUGGGCGGAAGCCUGAUCCAGCAAUGCCGCGUGAGGGAUUACGUCCUUCGGGUUGUAAACCUCUUUCAGCAGGGACGAAGCGCAAGUGACGGUACCUGCAGAAGAAGCACCGGCCAACUACGUGCCAGCCGCCGCCGUAA